rnacentral:rRNA from 1 species
CCUACGGGAGGCAGCAGUGGGGAAUAUUGCACAAUGGGGGGAACCCUGAUGCAGCAACGCCGCGUGAGUGAAGAAGUAUUUCGGUAUGUAAAGCUCUAUCAGCAGGGAAGAAGAUGACGGUACCUGACUAAGAAGCCCCGGCUAACUACGUGCCAGCAGCCGCGGUAAUACGUAGGGGGCAAGCGUUAUCCGGAUUUACUGGGUGUAAAGGGAGCGUAGACGGCAGCGCAAGUCUGGAGUGAAAUGCCGGGGCCCAACCCCGGAACUGCUUUGGAAACUGUGCAGCGGGAGUGCAGGAGAGGUAAGCGGAAUUCCUAGUGUAGCGGUGAAAUGCGUAGAUAUUAGGAGGAACACCAGUGGCGAAGGCGGCUUACUGGACUGUAACUGACGUUGAGGCUCGAAAGCGUGGGGAGCAAACAGGAUUAGAUACCCUUGUAGUC